rnacentral:rRNA from 1 species
GAUGAACGCUGGCGGCGUGCCUAAUACAUGCAAGUCGAGCGAACGGACGAGAAGCUUGCUUCUCUGAUGUUAGCGGCGGACGGGUGAGUAACACGUGGAUAACCUACCUAUAAGACUGGGAUAACUUCGGGAAACCGGAGCUAAUACCGGAUAAUAUUUUGAACCGCAUGGUUCAAAAGUGAAAGACGGUCUUGCUGUCACUUAUAGAUGGAUCCGCGCUGCAUUAGCUAGUUGGUAAGGUAACGGCUUACCAAGGCAACGAUGCAUAGCCGACCUGAGAGGGGGAUCGGCCACAUGGGACAGGAGCACCGUCCCAGACCCCGAGGGGGGGCAGAGGGGGGGAAUUUCCCGAAAGGGGCGAAAGCCUGCAGGAGAAACCCCGGGGGAGUGAAGAAGGUUUUGGGUUGGUAAAACUUUUUUAUUGGGGAAGAAAAUAUGGUUAAGUAACUGGGCAAUUCUUGACGGGACUUAAGAAGAAAGCCCCGGCUAACUCCGU